GAACCGUACAAACGUUAUUCGGAAUCACUGGGCUUAAAGGGUGCGUAGGCGGCUCGUCAAGUUGGGUGUGAAAUCCCUCGGCUCAACCGAGGAACUGCGCUCAAAACUGGCGAGCUCGAGGAAGACAGAGGUGAGCGGAACUUAGGGUGGAGCGGUGAAAUGCGUUGAUAUCCUAAGGAACACCAGUAGCGAAGGCGGCUCACUGGGUCUUUUCUGACGCUGAGGCACGAAAGCUAGGGUAGCGAACGGGGAUUAGAUACCCCGGUAGUCCUAGCUGUAAACGAUGAGCACUAGAUCGGAGGGUCCCUCCAUAGCCUUCCCGGUCGUAGCGAAAGUGUUAAGUGCUCCGCCUGGGGAGUAUGGUCGCAAGGCUG
rnacentral:rRNA from 1 species